rnacentral:misc_RNA from 1 species
GUAGGUGAACCUGCGGAGGGAUCAUUAACAUCCACACCCCCUCACAGAGGGCUCGCUCCCUCGCAAUUUGUGAGGGCCGAGCUCUCUUGAGACACCCCUCUGAACUCUCCUACACACUAUACCCUACCCUGGAGGAGCGGGUCGGCCUGCGUGCAGCGUUGACCUCUCCUCUCCCCUUUUCUUACACACUUGACUUCUGACCCCAUUCUCCCCCAUUGCUUCGUCGUCUGCUUCUUGGCAGCGGCGGAUC